UUCCGGUUGAUCCUGCCGGACCUGACUGCUAUCGGAUUGAUACUAAGCCAUGUGAGUCAUUGUAGCAAUACAAGGCAGACGGCUCAGUAACACGUAGCCAAUCUAACCUAUGGACGGGGAUAACCUCGGGAAACUGAGGAUAAACCCCGAUAGAUCAUUAUGCCUGGAACGGUUUAUGGUCCAAACGAUUCGUCGCCAUAGGAUGAGACUGCGGCCUAUCAGCUUGUUGGUGAGGUAAUGGCCCACCAAGGCUAUUACAGGUACGGGCUCUGAGAGGAGAAGCCCGGAGAUGGGUACUGAGACACGGACCCAGGCCCUAUGGGGCGCAGCAGGCGAGAAACCUUUGCAAUGUGCGCAAGCACGACAAGGUUAAUCCGAGUGUUUCCUGCUAAAGGAAUCUUUUGUUAGUCCUAAAAACACUAGCGAAUAAGGGGUGGGCAAGUUCUGGUGUCAGCCGCCGCGGUAAAACCAGCACCUCAAGUUGUCAGGAGGAUUAUUGGGCCUAAAGCAUCCGUAGCCUGCUCUGUAAGUUUCCGGUUAAAUCCAUUUGCUCAACAAAUGGGCUGCCGGAAAAACUGCAAAGCUAGGGAGUGGGAGAGGUAGACGGUACUCGGUAGGAAGGGGUAAAAUCCUUUGAUCUAUUGAUGACCACCUGUGGCGAAGGCGGUCUACCAGAACACGUUCGACGGUGAGGGAUGAAGCUGGGGGAGCAAACCGGAUUAGAUACCCGGGUAGUCCCAGCUGUAAACGAUGCAGACUCGGUGAUGCGCUGGCUUGUGGCCAGUGCAGUGCCGCAGGGAAGCCGUUAGUUUGCCGCUGGGAAGUACGUACCGCAAGUAUGAAACUUAAAGGAAUUGGCGCGGGGAGCACCACAAGGGUGAAAUCUGCCGAUCAUUUGACUCACCGUCUGU
rnacentral:rRNA from 1 species